UUCACAAGCAUAACUUAGUAAAUAGGUUCACAAGCUGCUAGCCACCAAGCCAAUAAAGAAGGCUCCUUUUUGCACCAUUUGUAGGCUGCCCUUCUCGAGGUGGAGGCGGAGGUGGAGGUAUAACAGGUGCAAAUGGAACAUUUUUCUUCACUUUCUUCCCUUUAGUUGUCUUCUUGGAUUUCUCUUGUGAUGAAGCUUUCUUCACAUGACUCUUUUUCUUGGUCAUCUCUUGUACUGCAACUAUCUUCACAGGUGUCUUCUUGGCUGAUGUAUUGGUCUUUUCUGGUUCCUUCCGCUUCUGUGGAGUUGUUCUGGCCCUUUUCCUGCAUUGACAAUAUUUUUUUAGACUGAGUAAUCAUAGAUUAAGGCAAGUGCAGUAAUUUACCUUAUAAGAUUGAUAAGGACUUCAUCAUCUCCUGCAUCACCAUCUGUUGUAGUCGUUGUUCCAUCACACUUCUUCCUGCAGUACAAAGAAGAAAAAUCUUUUUUGUGAAGAUUAGUUAUGAAAAAAUAUUCAGAAAAUACUUAUGUUGUAGCAGUUUUUGCAUCACCUUUUGUUUGUCGGUGUAGAUGAAUCCUCUAUAGGUAUAUCAUCAUCUAC
rnacentral:lncRNA from 1 species